UCUCCUGUAGGCUCAGUGGUAGUAGGCGUUAAGACCGAUGUGCGUAAGGUCAUAGGUUCGACUCCUGUUGGGAGAA